UACGGAGGGUGCUAGCGUUGUUCGGAUAUACUGGGCGUAAAGCGCACGUAGGCGGCGCCGUAAGUCAGGGGUGAAAUCCCGGAGCUCAACUCCGGAACUGCCUUUGAAACUGCGGUGCUAGAAUCCUGGAGAGGCGAGUGGAAUUCCGAGCGUAGAGGUGAAAUUCGUAGAUAUUCGGAAGAACACCAGUGGCGAAGGCGACUCGCUGGACAGGUAUUGACGCUGAGGUGCGAAAGCGUGGGGAGCAAACAGG
rnacentral:rRNA from 1 species